rnacentral:rRNA from 1 species
UACGAAGGGGGCUAGCGUUGCUCGGAAUCACUGGGCGUAAAGGGUGCGUAGGCGGGUUUUUAAGUCAGGGGUGAAAUCCUGGAGCUCAACUCCAGAACUGCCUUUGAUACUGAAGAUCUUGAGUCCGGGAGAGGUGAGUGGAACUGCGAGUGUAGAGGUGAAAUUCGUAGAUAUUCGCAAGAACACCAGUGGCGAAGGCGGCUCACUGGCCCGGUACUGACGCUGAGGCACGAAAGCGUGGGGGAGCAAACAG